GUGCCAGCCGCCGCGGUAAUACCAGCACCCCGAGUGGUCGGGAUGAUUAUUGGGCCUAAAGCAUCCGUAGCCGGUGUAACAAGUCCUCCGUUAAAUCCACCUGCUUAACAGGUGGGCUGCGGAGGAUACUGUUACACUAGGAGGCGGGAGAGGCGAGGGGUAUUCCACGGGUAGGGGUAAAAUCCUCUGAUCCGUGGAGGACCACCAGUGGCGAAGGCGCCUCGCCAGAACGCGCUCGACGGUGAGGGAUGAAAGCUGGGGGAGCAAACCGGAUUAGAUACCCGGGUAGUCCCAGCCGUAAACGAUGUAGGCUCGGUGAUGGACUGGCUCCGAGCCAGUCCAGUGCCGCAGGGAAGCCGUUAAGCCUACCGCCUGGGGAGUACGGCCGCAAGGCUGAAACUCAAAUGAAUUGACGGGG
rnacentral:rRNA from 1 species